AACGUAGGAGACAAACGUUAUCCGGAGUUACUGGGCGUAAAGGGCGUGCAGGCGGUCUGAUAAGUUCGGCGUGAAAUUUUCCGGCUUAACCGGAGGAUGUCGUCGGAGACUGUCGGACUAGAGGGUGAUAGAGGCGUGUGGAAUUCCGGGUGUAGUGGUGAAAUGCGUAGAGAUCCGGAGGAACACCAGUGGCGAAGGCGACACGCUGGGUCACACCUGACGCUGAUACGCGACAGCAUGGGGAGCAAACGGG
rnacentral:rRNA from 1 species